UGCUAUAAACUGGGAUUAAAUUUGGAAGGAGCCCAUUUGAUUUCGGAAGAGAAGCAGGGUCGGGCCUGGUUAGUACUUGGAUGGGAGACCACCUAGGAAGAUCAGGUGCUGUAGGCA
rnacentral:rRNA from 1 species